UUGAACGCUGGCGGCAGGCCUAACACAUGCAAGUCGAGCGGAUGAAGGGAGCUUGCUCCUGGAUUCAGCGGCGGACGGGUGAGUAAUGCCUAGGAAUCUGCCUGGUAGUGGGGGAUAACGUCCGGAAACGGGCGCUAAUACCGCAUACGUCCUGAGGGAGAAAGUGGGGGAUCUUCGGACCUCACGCUAUCAGAUGAGCCUAGGUCGGAUUAGCUAGUUGGUGGGGUAAAGGCCUACCAAGGCGACGAUCCGUAACUGGUCUGAGAGGAUGAUCAGUCACACUGGAACUGAGACACGGUCCAGACUCCUACGGGAGGCAGCAGUGGGGAAUAUUGGACAAUGGGCGAAAGCCUGAUCCAGCCAUGCCGCGUGUGUGAAGAAGGUCUUUGGAUUGUAAAGCACUUUAAGUUGGGAGGAAGGGCAGUAAGUUAAUACCUUGCUGUUUUGACGUUACCAACAGAAUAAGCACCGGCUAACUUCGUG
rnacentral:rRNA from 1 species